UUUUGCUCCAAUAGCCAAUGCAAUGGGAGGACCAAAGAUAAAACCUCUUGCUUCAAUACCUGCAACCACACUGAUGUUUUUGUCCUUAUAUCUCUCAACGAACAAAUCAAUAGUGUCCUUAAACGCCUUUGGAUCAAGUAGCAAAGUCGUUAUAUCCUGAAACAUGAUCCCUGGUUUAGGAAAGUCGGGUAUGACCCGAAUAGCAGAAGCAAUUCCAGCGAUACGUUCAUCUUUAAGAUCAUGAGGCGCCAUAACUUCUGAGCUUACUAGAUCUCCGAUCGGGAUCGUUUUCAGCUCCGGUUCUUCACCUGCUCCGGCUCCG
rnacentral:misc_RNA from 1 species